rnacentral:misc_RNA from 1 species
GAUGAAGAACGUAGCGAAAUGCGAUACGUAAUGUGAAUUGCAGAUUUCAGUGAAUCAUCGAAUCUUUGAACGCACAUUGCGCCCGCCAGUAUUCUGGCGGGCAUGCCUGUUCGAGCGUCAUUUCAACCAUCAAGCGCCUCGCUUGUGUUGGGGCCCUGCGGCUGCCGCAGGCCCCUAAAUCCAGUGGCGGGCUCGUCGUCGUACCGAGUGCAGUAAACAUCCUCGCUCAGGGAACCCGACGGGUGCCGGCCGUGAAACCCCCCCUCCUCAAGGUUGACCUCGGAUCGGGUAGGAAUACCCGCUGAACUUAAGCAUAUCAAUAAGCGGAGGA